AAUACCCUACGGGGCGCAGCAGUGAGGAAUAUUGGUCAAUGGUCGGGAGACUGAACCAGCCAAGCCGCGUGAGGGAGGAAGGUACAGAGUAUCGUAAACCUCUUUUGUCAGGGAACAAAGACUGGGACGCGUCCCCGGAUGAGUGUACCUGAAGAAAAAGCAUCGGCUAACUCCGUGCCAGCAGCCGCGGUAAUACGGAGGAUGCGAGCGUUAUCCGGAUUUAUUGGGUUUAAAGGGUGCGCAGGCGGUCUGUUAAGUCAGCGGUCAAAGCCCGGGGCUCAACCCCGGCCCGCCGUUGAAACUGG
rnacentral:rRNA from 1 species